rnacentral:rRNA from 1 species
UGGGGAAUAUUGGACAAUGGGCGCAAGCCUGAUCCAGCCAUGCCGCGUGGGUGAAGAAGGCCUUCGGGUUGUAAAGCCCUUUUGUUGGGAAAGAAAAGCAGUCGGUUAAUACCCGAUUGUUCUGACGGUACCCAAAGAAUAAGCACCGGCUAACUUCGUGCCAGCAGCCGCGGUAAUACGAAGGGUGCAAGCGUUACUCGGAAUUACUGGGCGUAAAGCGUGCGUAGGUGGUUUGUUAAGUCUGAUGUGAAAGCCCUGGGCUCAACCUGGGAAUUGCAUUGGAUACUGGCAGGCUGGAGUGCGGUAGAGGGUAGUGGAAUUCCCGGUGUAGCAGUGAAAUGCGUAGAGAUCGGGAGGAACAUCCGUGGCGAAGGCGACUACCUGGACCAGCACUGACACUGAGGCACGAAAGCGUGGGGAGCAAAACAGGAUUAGAUACCCUGGUAGUCCACGCCCUAAACGAUGCGAACUGGAUGUUGGGUUCAAUUAGGAACUCAGUAUCGAAGCUAACGCGUUAAGUUCGCCGCCUGGGGAGUACGGUCGCAAGACUGAAACUCAAAGGAAUUGACGGGGUCAUAGCUGUUUCC